UGGAGGGUGAAGGGUUGCAAACAUGCACUGUAUAUCAUGGCAAAGCCCGCUGUGACAUCGCCAGUGAUUUGGUGAAGCCGAAACAACAACAGUUCACUUUAGCACUUACUGUAGCAGUUGCUUAUUGAGUUGUUCUUCCACUGGGGAGUUUCCUCUUCAACCACAAAGUCGGUGGUAAAAUUCACCCAAGAGCAACAAAGCCGAGGUCAUUCUGUCCAAAAAGAAAAAGGCGAGAUGAUCAGUAAAACAUCAAGAAAUUGAUAGUUAAUCUCCAAAAAGUACGACGCGAGGUCGAAAAGUGCCAGGAGUGGAAGUCUGUAUUUCUACAAAUGGACCUUAAAAGGAAAUGACGUGAAGAGCACGAUGGACUUGAGGCAGGAGUAUUCGGCCGUGUCGACCUGCAGGGCCUUCAGCUUCUCCACCUGCUCUUGGAAGACGCGGAUGUGGUCCAUGAAGGCCACCACGCGCUCUGCUGACAU